GUUGAAAAUUUUACAGAAAGAAAAGUUAUCCUUGAUACUAACAUUACUGUUAACAUAGCUAAACUAGGUAGAAAAUGGCAAUAUUUUUAAAGUUGGGAAAGUAUUUCCUCAUUUUAGAAAAGCCAUAUAAAUUUAGCUCUGCACAGCAUAGGAAGAGGUGCACAAAGAGGUUAAUAUAAAAAUGGUUUAGUGUAUUUUUUUUCCUGAGAAUUUUCUAGCGUUAGACAAUAUUCAUGGUUGGUGCCCAUUUACUUUGUGUGUAUUGCACUAUAACACAUAAACUUAUUGGGACAAAUGGUUCUAAAAUAAAUUAUAAGCUUAUAUUUUUCAGACCAUUUAAUUUCUAUUUGUCAUGACUUCUAUAAACUUAUUUUUAAAUAUUAUAAAAUAGCUUAAUCAUUUUUAUAUCUACAGUAUGACUUAUUUUCUCAAAUAAAAAACAUGUUAUGGUUAUUUUAGGUUUUAUGAAGCAGAACAAUGCUAUUUGGGAAGACAAUGUGAAAUAUAAAUAUUCAUCUCAUUCUCCCAUAAAAUAUAUGUGAAAAAAAUAAAGAUUUUGAAUAACAUGUUUACUGUUGCUAGACCAUUCAUCAUUUUAAUAUAUAGCACUUAAAUUUCAUACACAAAUAUACAAAGAAACACCUUUUGAACUUCAUUUCAAAACAUUAUUUUAUGUAGAUUAUUCAUAAAUUUUUAAUAUUAUUUUAAUUAAAAUAGAAUUAUGUCAUUUUCCUGCAUCCAUUUUAUUUAUCCAAUACCUCCCAGAUACUCUCAAACUGUCAAGUUCAUAGCAUUCUCUUUCUUUUGUUAUUACUAGUGAGUUUAUGGAGAAUGGGCAUUAAGAUAAGACCAAACAAUCUCCUGUUUCUAGACUCGUGCCUAGAAUGAGGACAUGUGAUUUAAACAGGGGAAUUAGAAAAUGUGAAAUCAUUAUGGAAAAAUAGUCUUGUAUCUCUUUCUCCUCUUUCAACAUAUUCUAUUUGAGUGUAUAAUUUGAUUUUCUAUAAUUUUUAACAUUUUUCUUGGUUUCUUAUUUAUUUACAUUUCAAAUGUGGUACACCUCCCUGGUCUCCUGUCAGCAACCCUCCAUCCUUUCUCCUCCUCCCUUUGCCUGUAUGAAGGUGCUCCUCUAACCAUCCACCCACCCACUCCAGCCUCAUAUCUCUACCAUCAACCUCAUCAACACCAGGUCAUCAAGCAUCCACAGGACCAAUCCCCUCCCACUGAUGCCAGAUAAGGCAUCAUAUGUACAACAUAUCUGCUACACAUGUAGCUGGAACCAUGGAUCCCUCCCUGCAUACAAUUUGGUUGGUGGUUUAGUCCCUAGGAGCUCUGGGAGGGGGAGAUCUGGUUAGUUGAUAUUUUUGUUCUUCCUAUGAGGUUGCAAUUCACUUUGGCUACUUCUUUCUUUCCCCUAUCUCUUCCAUUUGGGUCCCACGCUCAGUCUGAUGUAAGUAUCUGCAUGUAUUGGUCAAGUGCUGGCAGAGCCUCUCAGGGGACAGCUAUACCACACUCCUGUCAGAAAACUCUUCUUGUACCACUUGGAGCUCCCAGGGAUUCAUCCACCAAAGAGCAUACAUGGGCUGGUCAGUGGCCCCAGACAUAUAUGUAGCAGAGGACUACCUUUCCACCUCAGUGAAAGAGGAUAUACCUGUAGAGACUUGAUGGCCCAGGGAAGGAGAAUUCCUGGAGUAGAGGGGUGGGAGGUGGGGGAUUGGUGAGGGAAGCACUGUCUUGGAAGAAAAAGGACAGUGAUGUGGGGUGAACAACUUUGGGAGUGGGGACAUAGAACAGAACAACAUUUGGAAUGUAAAUAAAUAAGAUAGUUAAUUAAAAAAUAGUCACACUUUACUACUAAUAAAGGAAUAUUAAUUUUUAAAUUUAAAUUAUACUUUUAAACUUUAUAAAAACAGAAGAAAAAUCACAAAUCAGUGUGAACCUGAUCCAAAGGUUGUACAACUCAAUGAAAUUCUACACAGUGACUAUAGCCAUUUGGAACAUACUUUGUUUAGCUUCACAUUAUAUUUUAUAAUUUCCCUAUCAAAUAUACUAUUACAAACUUAAAUACCACCAAAAAUGAAAUAAAAAUCAGAAGUAAGUCAUUUAAUGUUUUAUGAAAGAGAACAUAAUAUUUUAUUAACAUUAUGGUCAUUUAAAUACUUGGCAGGUUUUAUAAUGAAGCCUGUGUCCACCUCUAUUAGUGGCUAUCUCUCUACAUGAUUUUAUAUAUAUAUAUAUAUAUAUAUAUAUAUAUAUAUAUAUAUAUAUACAUACAUAUACAUAUAUACAUAUAUAUAUGUGUGUGUGCUACAAUAUAUUAUAUAAAUUACAUAUAGUCAUAUAUUACAUAUAUAGCUAUAAUUAUGUAUAAGAUAUAUAUAUUAUAUGCACAUGUGUGUGUGUUCCAAAUGUUUAACUAAGAAACUGUAGUUUCUUAAAUUAUGUCCUAAAUUUGGAAUUUCUGUUUUUAGAAAUAGGUACUUUUUAGUAAUUUGGGGGGGAAAUUGAUCUCCAGUGUCUCCAUUGCCAACUUUUGAGUCCUUUCUUACACCAUGUAAUCAUACAACUUAUUCCAGCAGAAUAGCGAUGAUUCAAAAAAUAUUAUCCUCUUUCUUUUCACCACUUCCUUUUAACUAUUGUUCCCUUUGAGCUGAAACAUUGUGACACCAUUUGUAUCUGUCUGCUAGCUGGCUUUGCAUUUGUUCUUCCUUCAUGAUGCUAUUUCAGUUUUUCAUAAGGCAAAAGUCAUGUUCUCUGCAGACUCAAAAGCAAAUUUCUUAUAUGCAUGCAGUAAUAAAUAGUAAAAAAACACACAGUAAGGCAAAAGUGUGAAAGGCUGUCAGGAAUGGUCUAUGUGAUGGUUUGGAGGGAGGAAAGGGAAGGGGAAAACGUGGGGAGUGUGUGAAGGUCAACUGUCCAGGAACAAGAACGAGUGUGAGGUGUGUCCAAAACUCUGAAGAUCUCAUCCCGAAACCCGCAAUAAGGAUGGCUCACUCUUUUCUGGGCUUGAAUGCUCCAGGGCACAUAGACUUAUGACCCCCACAUCUACCACCAUUGAGGUAGUCACAAUAGCCUAAUGAUCAAAUUACAGAUUUAACCUCCUCUCUCUCAAGAAGGACAUUUCCUGCAGUUACUCUUCACGUAAAGGAAGCCUUUCCAGCACCUCAGCCCAGGCAAUAAUGUACACUUAACCCAAAACCAUACCCAAGGUUUAUGCAAUUUUCAUAGGUACUUAUUACCCCCAAAUAGAGUUGUGACUCUGAAAACACCUUUCAAGAGAAAACUUCCCUACCCCUUAUCCCACACUCAUAACACCUCAUCCCACAACCAAAACAUACGCUCAAGACAAUAGAAUUCUGGCAGACUCACCCUAUUUAGAAAAGCUUCCAUUUUAGCCUGACGUGAAACAGUGUCUC
rnacentral:lncRNA from 1 species